GCCUACGGGGCGCAGCAGUGGGGAAUAUUGCACAAUGGGGGAAACCCUGAUGCAGCGACGCCGCGUGAGUGAAGAAGUAUCUCGGUACGUAAAGCUCUAUCAGCAGGGAAGAAAAAAAGUCUUUGGCUUUGGACGGUACCUGACUAAGAAGCCCCGGCUAACUACGUGCCAGCAGCCGCGGUAAUACGUAGGGGGCAAGCGUUAUCCGGAUUUACUGGGUGUAAAGGGAGCGUAGACGGCAGCGCAAGUCUGGAGUGAGAUGCCGGGGCUCAACCCCGGCACUGCUUUGGAAACUGUGCAGCUAG
rnacentral:rRNA from 1 species